CCGUGGCUGCGGUGUUAAUGGAAAUCAAGGUUUCUGCAUGCUAAGCAGGCUAGGGCUCUUAUACCCCAGUGCAAUUACUCUUGCAUAAUGACUGUCUACAUCUUGCUUGCUUCAGAACCCGGGAUAGACCUUGCCUGGACCUUCCCGUGACCGGGAUGGGAGCAGGCAUGUGAGCUCGGUGUCGAUCGGUAGACGUUGAGAAGUCGCCUGAGGAUCCGUUGAAAAGAUCUUGUUCUCCAAGGAAAGAGAAAAGCCAUGUAUGUCCUUCUCUUCGAUUUCACCUCACAUGCCUUCGAAUAAAGGGUAUUUCCUCUAGUGGUGACAUCA